UAGUCCUCCGGCAGGCAGCCGCCCAUUGCCAUCCCUACUUCUUGUAGUUGGUUUCUAAGGAUACGUCAGUGACCCAAGAAAGAACACUCGGACAGAAAGGGAGUGCCAAAAAAGGGAUCAAAAUCAAAACGAAAAUGGCGGCUGCUGCUUCUUCUUGUUCUUCUUCAAUUGCUAAUAACCGCUCAGUUCAUCAUCGUCCCCGUGGCAUCUUCAAGCAUAAUCAUCAGCCCAUCAUCUCUGUUCCGCUCAGACACCAGCAAUCGUCAUCUACAUCACUAAUCUGGAUUUGGGAUUUUGUGGAAGAGGAAGGAGGACGAGAAGGGCCGGCUGGGAAGUCUUGCAGCUGUUCGACAGUUGACUGGGUCACUCACAACUGCUGAGGGUCUCCGUUUUGGCAUUGUGGUGGCUCGCUUCAAUGAAAUUGUCACAAAGCCACUGUUGGAGGGAGCUUUGGACACUUUCAAAAAGUACUCGGUCAAAGAAGAAGAUAUCGAUGUUGUGUGGGUUCCAGGUAGUUUUGAAAUUGGUCUAGUUGGAGAGAAACUUGGGAAGUCAAGAAAGUAUCAAGCCAUCUUAUGUAUUGGAGCUGUGGUGUUCCAUGUGUAUUUGGUGUUUUGACCUGUGAUGACAUGGAGCAGGAGUUAUUGCAUAGAAAAUCAUAAAAUAGUUCAUCACAUAAUUGCCAUGUUGCUGGAUAUGAUAAUCAUCCUGUGGCUAAUAUUUGGCUCUCAAUCGAGCUGGUGGUAAGUCCGGAAAUAAAGGUGCUGAAGCAGUGCUGACAGCUGCAAGUCAAUUUCAUUUUGUUUAGUUUCUUUGUUCUUGUCUCUUCAUUUUCUUGUCAUUUUACUCCAUGGAUUAUUUAUUUGCUGUCUGGUGAAUUGGUUGCUUUGUGGAUAGUAUCUGAUUUGUGUUCCGUUUAAAUCAAAUCUCAUCAAUAAAGAACCUUUUUUGUUUUUCUUUUUUGUUCGAGGCCCAUUGGAAAGGGGUGAUUUGACGUAUUUCUCUGUCUCUACUGGGUUUUGCCCUUGUAACAGGCCUCCUUUCAAUAUAAUUUAGUAGAAUACAGCUGAUAGUAAUGCUUGGAAAGGGGCUUCUUGCUUAAGCAGUGAGGUAUCAAUCAUCCAAAAUGAAUUACUUUUCGAGUUAAAAAUGGGAGUUAGAAGGUAAAUAAGGGGUUGAACUCCAUAAUGACCAUUGGUGGACCUCUGUGAUAUUACUGGUUUCCCAACCAGAGUUUCUCGGCAAGACUCUGAAAUAUCUAGCUUUUAUUAGUUCCAAGUUGCAUCUAGUUUAUGACAGUGCAUGUAGUUAUCGGUAGGCUUCUAAAUCCAAUUCUGAUUGAUUGCUGCUCAUAAUAUUGGCCUCCUUUAGGUCAUCAUCUUAUGAGUAAGAAACUUUGGACGGGAAGAGUCUGUUUCCUGUCAUAGCAUAUUUAUUGCCAUGAUGUUCAUUUUGUAUCCUGGGUCUGACAAAAUAAUGAGCUGUGUAAUAUUUAGACAUAAAUGUUCCUGUUCUGCAUUUUCCUGUUGUGUCAUAUUUUAGAAAUAAAUUUUCCUGAUCUGCAUUUUCCUCUCUAAUAAUGUCUAUUCAUGAUCCAAUACCAAGGAUGAAUUUGUUUCCUUGUUUGAGUUGUAUUGCAGAUUGAAAUGGCUUCUUUGUUUGAACACCAUCUGAAAUUUUAGGAAGCAGGUGCUGUAAUUCUUCUCUUCUGAACCCUUCUCAGCAGCCAGAAUAUGUCCAUCCUGUAAUACUUGUAAUGAUUGAUUCCUUGCGUCAAAGAUUUUGUGUUGUAAUUCUCUGCAUGCAUUCGGUCGUGGGCUAGAUGGAGUAUUUGUUGAGAUUUUUGUAAACCUUAUAAACAGUUUCUUCUAUGCUCUUAUGCACUGCUUUGGUUUCUAAUUUGAUGUUUGUGGCGAUUUUUGUCAAUGAACUCUGAUGUGUCAAAAGUCUAAUUUAUCUUCAAUAAAUACUGCUACG